GGUUAAGUUAGAAAGGGCGCACGGUGGAUGCCUUGACACUAGGAGUCGAUGAAGGACGGGACUAACGCCGAUAUGCUUCGGGGAGCUGUAAGUAAGCUUUGAUCCGAAGAUUUCCGAAUGGGGAAACCCACCAUACGUAAUGGUAUGGUAUCCUUACCUGAAUACAUAGGGUAAGGAAGACAGACCCAGGGAACUGAAACAUCUAAGUACCUGGAGGAAGAGAAAGCAAAUGCGAUUUCCUGAGUAGCGGCGAGCGAAACGGAACAUAGCCCAAACCAAGAGGCUUGCCUCUUGGGGUUGUAGGACAUUCUAUACGGAGUUACAAAGGAACGAGGUAGACGAAGCGACCUGGAAAGGUCCGUCGUAGAGGGUAACAACCCCGUAGUCGAAACUUCGUUCUCUCUUGAAUGUAUCCUGAGUACGGCGGAACACGUGAAAUUCCGUCGGAAUCUGGGAGGACCAUCUCCCAAGGCUAAAUACUCCCUAGUGAUCGAUAGUGAACCAGUA
rnacentral:rRNA from 1 species